rnacentral:rRNA from 1 species
AACGCUGGCGGCAGGCCUAACACAUGCAAGUCGAGCGGUAACAGAGAGUAGCUUGCUACUUUGCUGACGAGCGGCGGACGGGUGAGUAAUGCUUGGGAACAUGCCUUGAGGUGGGGGACAACANUUGGAAACGACUGCUAAUACCGCNUAAUGUCUACGGACCANAGGGGGCUUCGGCUCUCGCCUUUAGAUUGGCCCAAGUGGGAUUAGCUNNUUGGUGAGGUAAUGGCUCACCAAGGCGACGAUCCCUANCUGGUUUGAGAGGAUGAUCANCCACACUGGGACUGAGACACGGCCCAGACUCCUA